UUGCUUCUACCAGAAUGCCUUGAUGCCACAGGUCUGAGUGAUCUUCGUUUCAUGGGACAACUUCUCACUUGGUCUAAUCGUAGCUCCUCUGGUGUUCACCAGAUAUGCUCCAAAUUAGACAGAGUAUUGGCUAACAAUUGUUGGUCUUUACAUUAUUUAAAUUCUAUGGCAGACUUCCUUUUGCCUGAUUGUUUGUGUAGCUUGGAGUUUUUCAGUUCCUCCUAAUUCCACAUCUAUGUAUAAAGUUGUGAAAAGUUGAAAGAGGUUAAAAGGCGCCUGCGUGAUUGGAGUAAAAUCAGAUUUGAUAGAACAAGUUCUCAAUUUUUGCAACAAACUAAUGCUCUCGCUGCGAUCCAACGCCAGCUCAGUGCCGAUCCUUUUAAUCAAGAUCUCCAACGACAAGAGCAUGAUCUGUCUCAGUUGAUCCGUGACUUAUCCAUUCGGGAGGAGCUGGAAGUGCGUCAAAAGUCUAGAAUUACUUGGCUUCAAGCUGGCCAUGGUAAUUCCCAAUUCUUCCAUCGGAGUCUCAAUGCUCGGCGAAGCAAUAAUAAUCGUGAAGAUCUUAUCUUGGAGGACAAAGAGUAUUAUACAAGAGGCUAUUAAUUAUUAUUCUCAGGUGUUUGGGCCUCUUCCUCGGCUCAUUUGUUCUGAGUUUGAUCUCCCAUUUCAUAGGGAAUUAUCUUGUAAUGAUGUAGCUGGGCUUGUUGCACCUGUUUUAGUCGAAGAAAUUAGGAGGGUGAUCCUUCAAAUGGA